GGGAUCACACAAGCGGUGGAGCAUGUUGUUUAAUUCGAAGCAACGCGAAGAACCUUACCAGGCCUUGACAUGUACGGAUUAGCUCCUUGAAAGGGGAGUGACAGCUCUUCGGAGUCGGAACGUACACAGGUGUUGCAUGGCUGUCGUCAGCUCGUGCCGUGAGGUGUUGGGUUAAGUCCCGUAACGAGCGAAACCCUUAUCGUUAGUUGCCAGCGGGUUAUGCCGGGGACUCUAGCGAGACUGCCGUUGUCAAAACGGAGGAAGGUGGGGACGACGUCAAGUCAUCAUGGCCCUUAUGGCCUGGGCUACAAACGUGCUACAAUGGUCCGUACAAUGGGUACCCAAGUCGCGAGACG
rnacentral:rRNA from 1 species